rnacentral:rRNA from 1 species
UACGGAGGGUGCAAGCGUUGUCCGGAAUUACUGGGCGUAAAGGGCGCGUAGGCGGCUCAUGAAGGCUGUGGUGAAAGUCCGGGGCUCAACCUCGGAUCGGCCGUGGCGACUCGUGGGCUGGAGCACUGUAGAGGCGGGUGGAAUUCCGGGUGUAGCGGUGGAAUGCGUAGAUAUCAGGAGGAACACCUGUGGCGAAAGCGGCUCACUGGACCAUAACUGACGCUGAUGCACGAAAGCUAGGGGAGCAAACAGG